rnacentral:rRNA from 1 species
AUUGAACGCUGGCGGCAGGCCUAACACAUGCAAGUCGAGCGCGCGGCUGACGGGUGAGUACUGUCUGGUAAACUGCCUGAUGGUGAGGUAUCACUACUUGAGACGUUCGCUAAUACCGCAUACCAUCAAAUGUGCCCAGAGUGGAUUAGCUAGUAGGUGGGGUAACGGCUCACCUAGGCGACGAUCCCUAGCUGGGCUGAGAGGAUGACCAGCCACAUUGGAACUGAGACACGGCCCAGACUCCUACGGGAGGCAGCAGUGGGGAAUAUUGCACAAUGGGCGCAAGCCUGAUGCAGCCAUGCCGCGUGUAUGAAGAAGGCCUUCGGGUUGUAAAGUUCUUUCAGCGGGGAGGCGGUACCCGAAGAAGAAGUAACGGCUAACUACGUACCAGCAGCCGCGGUAAUAC